AUGACCAGUUAUAAUUAAGGAAUUUUCCUUAUUAUAUAGGAAUAUACUUUUCCAGUAUAUUGUAACCUAGCAGAGGGCCAGUCUGGUGCCAGCAGCUGCGGUAAUUCCAGCUCUGCAAGUUUGCUCCCAUAUUGUUGUAGUUAAAACGCUCGUAGUCUGAAUUAUUUUAAUUUAAAUUUUUUAAAUUAAAAUUUAGUUUUUAUUUUAUAAAAACGUUCACUGUGAACAAAUCAGAACGCUUAAAGUAAUUUUCUUUAUUGAAUGAUUUAGCGCAGUAUGAAAUUUUUACUUUUUAAAUUUUAAUUAAUUUAACAAGUAAUAUCAAAGAGAAUAAUCGGGGAUAGAUCUAUUUCAUGGCGAACAGCGAAAUGUUUUGACCCAUGAGAGAGAAACGAAGGCGAAAGCAUCUAUCAAGUGUAUUUCUAUCGAUCAAGGGCGAGAGUAGGAGUAUCCAACCGGAUCAGAGACCCGGGUAGUUCCUACCUUAAACUAUGCCGACAAGGUUUUGUUUUUUUUAAUAAAAGCAGUACCAUAGGAGAAAUCAUAGUUCAUGGGCUCUGGGGGAACUACGACCGCAAGGCUGAAACUUGAAGGAAUUGACGGAAGGGCACACCAGGGGUGGAGCUUGUGGCUUAAUUUGAAUCAACACGGGAAAACUUACCAGGACCAGAUAUUUUUAAUGACUGAUCAGGCUAUAGGUCUUUCAGGAUAUGAUUUUUGGUGGUGCAUGGCCGUUGGUGGUGCGUGGGUUGACCUGUCUAGCGUUGAUUCAGAUAACGAGCGAGAUUAUCACCAAUUAAAUAUAUAAAUAUUUUUAUUAAAAUAAUUUAUUUUCUAAUUGGGACUCCCUGCGUCU
rnacentral:rRNA from 1 species